rnacentral:rRNA from 1 species
AACGAACGCUGGCGGCAUGCCUAACACAUGCAAGUCGAACGAAGCCUUCGGGCUUAGUGGCGCACGGGUGCGUAACGCGUGGGAAUCUGCCCUUAGGUACGGAAUAACUCAGGGAAACUUGUGCUAAUAUCGUAUGAUGUCGAAAGACCAAAGAUUUAUCGCCUAGGGAUGAGCCCGCGUUGGAUUAGCUAGUUGGUGAGGUAAAGGCUCACCAAGGCGACGAUCCAUAGCUGGUCUGAGAGGAUGAUCAGCCACACUGGGACUGACACACGGGCCAGACUCCUACGGGAGGCGGCAGUGGGGAAUAUUGGACAAUGGGCGAAAGCCUGAUCCAGCAAUGCCGCGUGAGUGAAGAAGGCCUUCGGGUUGUAAAGCUUUUUUACCCGGGAAGAUAAUGACUGUACCGGGAGAAUAAGCCCCGGCUAACUCCGUGCCAGCCGCCGCAGUAACAC